AAUCAACGCUGGCGGCGUGCCUCAGACAUGCAAGUCGAACGAUUAAAGCUCUCUUCGGAGAGUGUAUAGAGUGGCGCACGGGUGAGUAACACGUAAGUAAUCUACCCUCGAGUGGGGAAUAACAACCGGAAACGGUUGCUAAUACCGCAUAAUGCAGCGGCACCGCAAGGUGACAGUUGUUAAAGAUUUAUCGCUUGAGGAGGAGCUUGCGGCAGAUUAGCUAGUUGGUAGGGUAACGGCUUACCAAGGCUACGAUCUGUAACCGGUCUAAGAGGACGGUCGGUCACACUGACACUGAAUAACGGGUCAGACUCCUACGGGAGGCAGCAGUCGGGAAUUUUGGGCAAUGGGCGAAAGCCUGACCCAGCAACGCCGCGUGAAGGAUGAAGUAUUUCGGUAUGUAAACUUCGAAAGAAUAGGAAGAAUUAAUGACGGUACUAUUUAUAAGGUCCGGCUAACUACGUGCCAGCAGCCGCG
rnacentral:rRNA from 1 species